rnacentral:rRNA from 1 species
GACAGAGGUGCCAAGCGUUAGGCGGAAUCACUGGGCGUAAAGGGUGCGUAGGCGGGUCUUUAAGUCAGGGGUGAAAUCCUGGAGCUCAACUCCAGAACUGCCUUUGAUACUGAGGAUCUUGAGUUCGGGAGAGGUGAGUGGAACUGCGAGUGUAGAGGUGAAAUUCGUAGAUAUUCGCAAGAACACCAGUGGCGAAGGCGGGUCUCUGGGCCGAUACUGACGCUGAGGAGCGAAAGCGUGGGGAGCGAACAGG